GGGUCGUUAGCUCAACCGGUAGAGCAGCUGACUCUUAAUCAGUAGGUUGUAGGUUCGAGUCCUACACGACCCACCA
rnacentral:tRNA from 1 species